GAUUAUUGGGCGUAAGCGCGCGCAGGUGGUUUCUUAAGUCUGAUGUGAAAGCCCACGGCUCAUCCGUGGAGGGUCAUUGGAAACUGGGAGACUUGAGUGCACCAUAGGAAAGUGGAAUUCCAUGUGUAGCGGUGAAAUGCGUAGAGAUAUGGAGGAACACCAGUGGCGAAGGCGACUUUCCGGUCUGUAACUGACACUGAGGCGCGAAAGCGUGGGGAGCAAACAGGAUUAGAUACCCUGGUAGUCCACGCCGUAAACGAUGAGUGCUAAGUGUUAGAGGGUUUCCGCCCUUUAGUGCUGAAGUUAACGCAUUAAGCACUCCGCCUGGGGAGUACUGCCGCAAGGCUGAAACUCAAAGGAAUUGACGGGGGCCCACACCUGCGGUGGAUCAUGUGGUUU
rnacentral:rRNA from 1 species